AAGACGGCGGACGCGAUUGGACCGCGCCAGAGGCGUCCCCGCCGCUGCCUGCCGCCGCUCGCGCGGCUGCCGCCCGCCUCCGGCGCCGCUGACCCCACCGCCCAUGUCCUCACACCGGGAAACGCUGCGGGAAAUCGCGCUGAGAGCGUGGUGUCGGCGUCGGAGCUCAGGCAGCCGAAUAGACAGAGGGGCCUUAAUGCUACCACACCCAAGAUGGCGGCUUGACCGGAAGUAGCUUCUGCCAGCACCCAAGAUGGCGACGAAGGGAGGCCGUCACAUGGUGCCGCACCAAAGAUGGCGAUUCGGCACGCGGCUUAUUUGACCUUCCAAAGGUGGCGGCGUCAGGCGCAUGCGUCUUGGGCAGGGACAAACACUGUUAGGGAGGAAGGACCCCGCUCCGUCUAUUCGGCUGCCUGAACGCCACCCUGACGCCGAUCCAGCGCUUUCAGCGCGAUUUUCCGUGGCGCUUCCCGGUGUGUGGACACGGGCUCUGGGGUCAGCGGCGCCGGGGGCGGGCGGGAGCCGCGCCAGCACCGGCAGGCAGCGGCGGGGACGCCUCUGUACCGGUCGCGCCGCGCCGCUCCCACGAGAAGCCCUCGGGGCACGCGCUGCCGCCGCCCCGCGCUCCCCUGCGGCCCGGGGAAAUGUGGGAAAACACAAAAUCAUCGAGGAAGAGCACUCACCGGGGCUGCCUCAGCCAUCCCCCUGCCCGAAGGGCGGCAGCCGCCCAGAGGCGGGAGCAGCCCGCAAGGAUGCAGCUGCUCUUUCCCAGGAGCCCAGGACUAAGUUGACGUUCCCUGAGUGGCUGCAGUUCCCUGGAUGUGGAGAGAGGAGGUCUCUGCCAGAGUGGGGGAAAUGUCCCUGCUGGUUGCUGUGUCCGCAGUGGGCAGAGAACACUGAUCUUGGCAAGAUGGGUUUGACAGGAAAAAUCACUAAACUCGCCCCAUCUUUGCCAAAAGCUUUGGUGUUUGAGCAGCCAAACCCAACAAGGCCCCCCCUGGUCCUGCUCAUGGUGUGGAUGCUGGAAUUGCCUCUCUGGAUGUGCUGAGCUCUCGCUGUUGUGGACUGUGCGGCCUUGAUUGCUGCAGCGAUUCUCUGAUACCAUUUCACCUGCCCAAAUUCCCUGCAGCUCCUGGGACAGAGAGAAGCUUCUUCUGUGGCUGAGGUUCAGCGGGAAAAUGAUACUGUGUGUUCAAUCUCCUUAAUAUAUUUAACUGCUCUUUAUAUCUUAGAGUGUAGACUUAGUUGACCCUUUUUCAACAGAAAGUGGCAGGCUGAAGUCAUACUGAACCAUACUUUAGAUAGUUGAGUUUUUUUAAAGAAAAAAGUCCAGGCUUUUUGUCUAUGGGCCUUAUUGGUAUUGCUCCUUAGCUGAGCCACACCUUUAAAUAAUGAUGUGGGUGCCUUCUAGAAAGUGUUCAAUACAUUUUGCACUCUCUCAUGAGACCUUCGGGCCUAUGCUUUUCCAUUGCUGAGUUAAUUGCAGGUCCAAUGCAACUGGACAAUGUCCUGUGCAUGUGUUGUUCAUUGAUCUGUUUGUGAUGUUUAUUUCAUCUGGAUGCAGAGUUGGGCUUUUUGGGCAGACGGUGCCCCUCAAACCACCAGGCUUGUUUAAACCUUGUACACUAUUUUGUGAAGAUCCAGGGUGGGUGAGAAUUUUGUCUUGUUGCUGUACUAGGGAAUGGAAUGCAGAAGCUUCCUGCAAUAUUCACAUUGAAGUUGGAACAUUCAAGGGUAUCGGUAUUAUGGGUCUCAGGGAUGAAUCUGUCAGGAAAAUUAAUCCACGAUGUCCGAGGUUUAUGUCCGUAAAGGAGACAGAGGAGUUCUGUAACUUGAUUUGAAUAAAGGAAGAGGCCAUGGGUGUUUCCCGUGGGGUCUCUCAGAUUGCUAGAGGACACAGCUUCCUUUUUAUCCUAAUUUCCCGGUCGCAUUUCCCUCUCUCUUUCCCCAUUGGCUGAGGUACUUGAGAGGUACAGACUUCCCAAAUCGCUUAAUACAGACCCCCUUCUAAUGUGCAUCCUCCCCACUUCUUUUUCUUUGUGUCUCUGUUCUUUUUCUCUAAGUCCAGGAAUUCAGCAUGGCCUUGGGUGAGCAACAGUCUGUGUCAAUUAGUGGAAUUCCUAUGGAAUUUAUGGUUCCACCCAUUGCUUCUUUCACCUCUCAGUAUCUGGCUUUAUCUACAAGCAGGCCCACAGUUUGUUUGUAAAGACACCUCCUUCUCAUUCCUUUCAAGAUUAUUCUCCACUGCAGUGACACAGGGCCCUUGACUGACACCAACAUGUCUAUAAAAGGUUGUGUUAUUUUCUCGACCAUUUUCCAUUUUCAUGUGUUUUUCCCGGGCCAGGAUGAUGGAUGACCUCCCUGAGGGCCUGACGCAGCAGCCGCUCCCACUGCUUCCAGGGGGAAACAUGGUGGCACAGCCCCAGCACCAUUGCCCUGUGGGGCUGAGCUGGGGUUCGGGGUUCAGCAGGGGUGUGAGGAGCCCCCUCAGAGCUGUGCCUGCUCAGGGGGCCUCUCACCUCAGCAUCCAUGACACAGGCUGCCCAGCCACUGCUUGCCGCCAUCUCCCGCCCGCCCCCAGCACCGCUGACCCACUGGGACAUCCCCCCCAGGAACUGCCGUGGGAGAUUGCGCUGCAAGUGUGAGGUCAGGGUCGCAGUCAUGAUUGUGGCCAGAUUCAGGCAGGCAAGUAGAUGUCUUUAUCGGGGGAGUGUCCUUUCACAGCGCCAUUUUGUCGUCCCUACCCAAAGUGCAUGCACGAGCUGCUGCCAUCUUGGGAAGGGCACCAUAAGCCUAAGCCGCCAUCUUAGGUGUGGUCCAUGUGACUUCCGCCUAAACUCCGCCAUCCUGCGUUCUGUCAGAAGCCACUUCAUGUGAGGGCUGCCAUCUUAGGUGCGGUAUCACGUGAGUUCUGCCCACACCUGCCACCUUGUGUGCUGGCAGCAGCCAGUUCUGAACAAUUCCACGACUUCAGGCCCGGGCUGCCCUCUUGGGUGUUGCUGAGUCUGAAUUGCAGCCCCCUCCGCCCUCUUGGGAGCGGCAUCUGCCGCUGUCCGUCACACGCACGCCCACACACGUGCACUCGCAUCGCAACCCUGCACCGCUUCACCUAGCCCCAUCCAGCACCACCCUGCCCGCUCUCUCCGCUCCGGGCUCUGCCACGAGUUUCUUGCCCAUGUAACAGAGAAACAACCACCCACCAACACCAUGGUCGCAGUUCAUCUCUUCUGUGCCUACAAAAGCUUAAUAAGUCAUAAGCAUCACAAAGGUCUUCAGAGUCUGUGAGUUAAGGGCAGUUGGGAAGAAAAAAAAAACACUUUUUGCUCAUUCAGUUUUCUUUCUGACAAAUGUCUUUCAUUGAUCAUCUUCCGAACAGCAACAGGCAGCUAAUCUAUGUUCCUGACAGGAUAUUCCUGUCCAAGUCUAUGGCAAUUUUUUUUUCAGCUGCCUUAUAUGUCAGUGUUUGCAGAUCCUGAGGAGCAAGACAUCUGUACUUUUGAGACCCUGCAGAUGUUGGAUUUUAAGAUCUGACUUCCAGAGAGGCGAAUAGCCCGUCCCAGCUCAUUGCAGUUCCCUGCAGGAACACGAGGGGGUGCUGGAGAGCACGGUGUAAGCGUGUGGAGCUGUUCCAGCGCUUCACCCUCUCCCCUGAUUGUUAGACCUGAGCUCUUGCCUCUGCCCUGUCAAAAAGAGCAGGAAAAAAUUGGUCUCACUGCACGAUUCUGCUCCGGCACCGGAAGCAGUGCAGAGAUAUUCAUAAAAUCCUGGAAUGCUCUGGGUGGGAAGGGAUUUUAAAACCUAUACCACUCAACCCCCUGCCAUGGGCAAGGGACGCCUUCCACUAGCCCAGGUUGCUCCAAGGUCCGCCCAACCUGGCCUUGGCCUCUUCCAGUCACCCCAGGCUCCUGUAAAUUACUGCAGCCUCUCAGACCAAUUAGUAUUUUCUUGGAAUGCUGUAGGAGAGAAGGUAAUUGAUGGGGCUGAGCAUCACAUUAACACAGCCAUACUCUUCUGGGAGCCACUUUUGGGCAUGUCAAACUGUGUAUUUUCCAGGGUUACCCAAAAAGUGAGGUUUUCUGUGACACCAAAGCACAACUACACGCCACUUGCAGGAAGUGAGCACCUCAGGAAAAAUAACAGAAUUUAAGGCAGAGAAAUAACGUGGGGAAUCAGCGGGCGCCAGCAGUUAGGAGAGGCAAAGAGCGGGAACACACGCGAGCAGGAACAGGAGGAUGCCUUUCGGAUGAGAUUAACUGCGAGGGCAUUAAUUAUAAAAUUAUUUUUAUUUCCCCGCGGGCCGCCGCGGGUGAGGAGGAAACUACAUUUCCCGUGAUGGCCCGGGGCGACGCAGGACGGCGCCGAUCGGGCAGGGCAGGGCAGGGCAGGGCGGGGCGCGGCGCAGGAGGCGGGAGGGGAUUGAAUUCUGAGGCGGCAGCGUUGCUUGGGCUCUUCGGUGACGGGAUGUUGUGUCGGACGGGGCGGCUCGCACCGCCGGGAUCUGUGUGCG
ensembl:lncRNA